GGUUUCGAGCCCGGAAGAUCCGGCGCCCAGAGCUAACGGGAGUCCCAGAUUAAACACUUUAAGAUGAGAAAAAUUGAUCUCUGUCUGAGCUCUGAAGGGUCCGAAGUGAUUUUAGCUACAUCAAGUGAUGAAAAACACCCACCUGAAAAUAUCAUUGAUGGGUAAGAGUUACUAUACUUUGUUGUUUACAGUCUUAAAUCGGUGAAUCCCUUGAGUACUUGGACUGUGUUUUAUAACAACUUGCCCUAUUAAACAUAGUUUAAUGUUUAGUGGAUUACCUGAUAUCCACUUUUGAUACCAUUUCUGAAACUAAUUGAGUUGUGUAUAUUUAGGUUUUUUAUCCUUUUCUUUAUAAUGCCUAAACUGAACUCUUGAUACAAAUAGGUUUUUUUAGAAGUGGUUUACCAAGGCAAAAACUCAAAUGACUUCAUUUUAUGGAAGUGUAAAUUUUAAGGUCUG
rnacentral:sRNA from 1 species